rnacentral:rRNA from 1 species
AUCNUGGCUCAGAUUGAACGCUGGCGGCAGGCCUAACACAUNAAGUCGAGCGGAUGAUGGGAGCUUGCUCCAGGAUUCAGCGGCGGACGGGUGAGUAAUGCCUAGGAAUCUGCCUGGUAGUGGGGGACAACGUUUCGAAAGGAACGCUAAUACCGCAUACGUCCUACGGGAGAAAGCAGGGGACCUUCGGGCCUUGCGCUAUCAGAUGAGCCUAGGUCGGAUUAGCUAGUUGGUGGGGUAAAGGCCUACCAAGGCGACGAUCCGUAACUGGUCUGAGAGGAUGAUCAGUCACACUGGAACUGAGACACGGUCCAGACUCCUACGGGAGGCAGCAGUGGGGAAUAUUGGACAAUGGGCGAAAGCCUGAUCCAGCCAUGCCGCGUGUGUGAAGAAGGUCUUCGGAUUGUAAAGCACUUUAAGUUGGGAGGAAGGGCAGUAAGUUAAUACCUUGCUGUUUUGACGUUACCAACAGAAUAAGCACCGGCUAACUUCGUGCCAGCAGCCGCGGUAAUACGAAGGGUGCAAGCGUUAAUCGGAAUUACUGGGCGUAAAGCGCGCGUAGGUGGUUUGGUAAGAUGGAUGUGAAAUCCCCGGGCUCAACCUGGGAACUGCAUCCAUAACUGCCUGACUAGAGUACGGUAGAGGGUGGUGGAAUUUCCUGUGUAGCGGUGAAAUGCGUAGAUAUAGGAAGGAACACCAGUGGCGAAGGCGACCACCUGACUAUACUACACUAGGUGCGAAAGCGUGGACAACAG